UACAUGGGGUGCAAACGUUGCUCGGAAUUAUUGGGCGUAAAGCGCACGUAGGCGGUUCGUUAAGUCGGAUGUGAAAGCCCUCGGCUCAACUGAGGAAGUGCACCCGAAACUGGCGAGCUUGAGCACUGUAGAGGCAGGCGGAAUUCCGGGUGUAGCGGUGGAAUGCGUAGAGAUCCGGAAGAACACCGGUGGCGAAGGCGGCCUGCUGGGCAGUUGCUGACACUGAGGCGCGACAGCGUGGGGAGCAACAGGG
rnacentral:rRNA from 1 species